rnacentral:rRNA from 1 species
GACGAACGCUGGCGGCGUGCUUAACACAUGCAAGUCGAGCGAGACUUUCUCUUCGGAGGGAUGCUCUAGCGGCGAACGGGUGAGUAACACGUGGGCAACCUGCCCCUAGCUCUGGGAUAAGCCCGAGAAAUCGGGUCUAAUACUGGAUAUUCACGACAUAGGGCAUCUUGUGUUGUGGAAAGGUUUUCUGGCUGGGGAUGGGCCCGCGGCCUAUCAGCUUGUUGGUGGGGNGAUGGCCUACCAAGGCGACGACGGGUAGCCGGCCUGAGAGGGCGACCGGCCACACUGGGACUGAGACACGGCCCAGACUCCUACGGGAGGCAGCAGUGGGGAAUAUUGCACAAUGGGCGGAAGCCUGAUGCAGCGACGCCGCGUGAGGGAUGACGGCCUGGUGUAA